AUUUCUUUUAUUUUGCAACUUAUUUUAAUUUCAUACAGUUAUAUAUAAUUUAAAAACAGUUAAUGAGAUGGAUAUUAUACUAUUUACUAGACGAUUUACUCUCCUACUCUCUAUACCAAAUCAAAGAUUGCAAGAAAAGACAAAUUAAAAUUUUAUUUCAAUGAUGAUCUUGCUCCAUACCGUCCUAUUCCAUGGUAGAAGUCUGGGUUUUAAUGGUGGCAUACGAUCAAACGUCAUGUCUGGUCGAAAUGGAAGAUUACUAACUCUGCUUCAAAAAAAAUUAAUAAAAAAAACCUAUUGCUACAACCACAAGUUGCAUCGAUUCAAAAUUGAUAUACAAAAAGAAUAAUAAAAUUUGAUUUUAAAAAGAAUUAAUUUAAAUAGUUUCUUAAAACAAAAUACUUUCUUUUAUGGUGCCCCGGUUACGGUGGUACGUUUUUCGUUUUAAAUUAAAGUUAAAUGAUAAAAGUUUUAAAAAAAAAUUUUAAAAAUAUCCUUACCUUGAAUUCUUUAGUAAAAAUAAAAAGUAAACGAAUUACUUAUCAAAUUCGUCGUUCGAUAUUGGAGAUGAUAUAAGGACAAAUAAAAUUUUUUUGACUUUUCUUUUCGAUAGUCAAAAUUUUAUCCAAAUUUACAAAAUUAUAAAAGGUAAAAAAAUUUUAUUUAGAAUAAAUAUAACUUGUUAACUUCUUGUUUCUUUUAUGGCGCCCUGUUAUGUUUUUGUAAAAAAAAAAAGAAUAAAAUAUAGAAAAUUUGCCUAAAACUAAAAGAUAUAAAUUAAAUUAAAUUUGAAAUUGAUGACUACCUUAUUUAUUGAUUUGACUACCUAUUGUGACGAUUGUGUAAUCCAUUGAGAUGACUCUAUUUAUAUGACUACCUAUUGUGACGAUUAUUUAAUCCAUUGAGAUGACUCUAUUUAUAUGACUACCUAUUUACUAUCUAUUGUGAUGACUAUCUAACCUAUGGAGACUGCUUAACCUAUGGAGAUGACUACCUAUUAUGACUACCUAAUCUAUUGUGACUCCCUAAUCUAUUGUGAUGACUAUCUAACCUAUGGAGACUGCGUAACCUAUGGAGAUGACUAUCUAUUAUGACUACCUUAUUUAUUGUGACUGCCUAAUCUAUUGAUAUCCAAUGCCUAAUCUAUGGAGAUGUUAGCACGUUCUUUCAUGCAAAAAGCUUCUUUCUUCGUCCCGGCUCUGGAUGUUGGACUGGAAUAUGAUAACCAGCACCUAACCUAAUGUGACAACCUAGGAAGAACUGAUAUGGAAGUUGAACGAUAGGUUAUGAAUUCUAUUUUGUGAGACCAAUGAUAUUAAAGUGAAAUUAAAACAUAUGAAUUAAAAGGGAUUGAUUUAAAUAACCCUUAUAAGUAAUACUUAAUAUGAUAAAAAUGUUUUUGAAAUAAAGCUUUUGAAGACAAAAGGUUAUGUAAAAAUUAAACAUCAUUAUUUUAGAAAAAUAUUGUGUGAAAUUUAAAUUUUUUUUAAGAGAGGGAAAUGUGCAUAAUAUUUGCAUAUUUUAACCUCGGAGAUUGAAAAUAAAUAAAAAUAAAUUAAGUAUUAAAACGCUACUAAUUAAAUAUGGAAACGCUAAAAAAUGUAAAACGCAAAAAAAUAUAAAACGCUAAAAAUAUAAAACGCAUAAAACGCUAAAAGUAUAAAACGCUAUGAUUAACUUAACACCUAAAAAAUAAUAUAAUAAUUAUUUAUCAUUCCUUAUUUUGGAUUUUAUUCCUUAUUCCUUAUCAUUCCUUAUUACAUAUUUUAUUGUUCCGAAAUUCAAAAUUUUAUUCGUGCAUAUUAUUCAUAUAUUUGAUUUGAUCAACUAUUCCAAAUUACAUAUUCCGACUUAUUCCAAAUUCCAAUAUUCGACUGGAUUAAUUAUGAAACAUGAUAAUAACAAUUUUGAGAAAUGUGAACAACAUACGAUAAGGAUAUCAAACCAACGAUAACGUUCAACGAUUUUAUCAAACCUACGCGAUUGAUUCAAGCCUACAAAAAACGUACAAACUCACGCAACUCUAAUAAACGAUUUAUCAAACCUACGUGAUAGAAUCAAGCCUACGAGAACAUUUGAGACUUAUGUGCUAACCAAGAUGAAACCGAGUACAAUCAAAACGGGAAAAAACUUCUGGGACAACAAGCUCUCGAUGACUGCUGAGAAGAAGAUUAGUUCUUUGUAGAAGAGGGGGAAUGUUGAUUGAUUUAAAUUUGAAUAUUGUUUAUUUUAUAUAUUAACUAUUUAAGUUGAUUGUUUAAUAUGUUCAAUUAACUUUUUAUAUAUAUAUAUAUAUGUUUUUAGA